GUGCUUGCUACGGCUGCACAUAUACUAAAAUUGGAUCGAUACAGAGAAGGUUAGCAUGGCCCCUGCAAAAGGACGCAAAUCCGUGAAGCGUUCCAUAUUUAG
ensembl:snRNA U6 U6 spliceosomal RNA